rnacentral:rRNA from 1 species
GAUGAUCACUGGGUGUGGGGGUGCAAAACUUCUGUGCCGAAGCAAAAGCGAUAAGUGAUCCGCCUGGGGAGUACGUUCGCAAGAAUGAAACUCAAAGGAAUUGACGGGGGCCCGCACAAGUGGUGGAGCAUGUGGUUUAAUUCGACGCAACGCGAGGAACCUUACCAGAUCUUGACAUAUAUCGGAAUAAUGUAGAAGUAUAUUAGUUCCUUCGGGGACCGAUAAACAGGUGGUGCAUGGCUGUCGUCAG